GAAUUUUGCUUCUAGUUUUAUUUCUUUUUGGCAAAACUUCUUCAGUGCAACGCCCAAAGCAGUGAACAUCCCCCAACCCGCUAGUAGUCUUCUCUCACGCCAUGGCCAUUAGGGAAAAUAAAAUUUAAAAAUUUAAAAAUAUACACUAGAAAAUGAAAUAAAUCAUGGGAGUGCUAUGAUAAAUAAAAUGAAAAUGAAAAUCACUAAAAAAUUACAUAUUCAGAAAACAAGAUCACGGAUACAUGGCAGAGUUAGAAUAACCUAACAAGUUUUUCGGAGGAAUUAAUAGCACACAAUUAACUACAAAGCAGAGGUAGACGACGGUGGCUGCCUGGUGAGACAGAGUUUGACGACUGCGCUGUCCGGCGAGGCACGAGGUAGACAAGAGGUAGACGAUGGCAGAAUGCUGUCCAGUACUCACACUACUGCUACAAUGAACACCCAAGACAGACAAUAAACCUGCAGCCACAAAAUCAAGUUUACAUGGGACAAUCACUAAAAUUUAUUACCAAACAUUGAUUAUAGUGCCCUAAUGACGAACUAAACUGAAUAAUCAAUUGCAUAGAAAAUAAAGAAAAAUAGAGAUGGCUACCGCAUGAUAUCCCAGGUGCAGAACUAUUGCAACUGCACUAAAUCAAUCCUAUGUACACUUAAUUUUAUGUGAUGUGCAGGAAAGCAUGGUUGAUUAAGAGAGAAAAUCAUGGUGGAAAUGAUAAAAUCAGUAUUAUGGCAUCCUUUGCUCUGUUGGUUGUACAAUUGUGUAAAAUUUCCUUGAUGACUACCGUCAUGUAUACAAAGAUAGAAGAAAAGGUCAAUACUAAAUCUGGUAGACUUGAUUCCACAGAAAAAGGAUCUGCUAGACUAAACACAGCGAGUUUAAACUAUAUAGUGCUGAAAACAGAGUACCUGAUGCUCACUGUUUGAACCGGUGGCUGCCUUAAUUGACGUUAUUUUUGCUGCCGUAGGGAAUACACAAACUCUGACGACAACCGUGGACUAUAUGAACAUCUUGGUUUCUCCUACACGAAAGUCCU
rnacentral:lncRNA from 1 species